rnacentral:rRNA from 1 species
AGUGAACGCUGGCGGUAGGCCUAACACAUGCAAGUCGAACGGCAGCACAGGAGAGCUUGCUCUCUGGGUGGCGAGUGGCGGACGGGUGAGGAAUACAUCGGAAUCUACUCUGUCGUGGGGGAUAACGUAGGGAAACUUACGCUAGUACCGCAUACGACCUACGGGUGAAAGCAGGGGAUCUUCGGACCUUGCGCGAUUGAAUGAGCCGAUGUCGGAUUAGCUAGUUGGCGGGGUAAAGGCCCACCAAGGCGACGAUCCGUAGCUGGUCUGAGAGGAUGAUCAGCCACACUGGAACUGAGACACGGUCCAGACUCCUACGGGAGGCAGCAGUGGGGAAUAUUGGACAAUGGGCGCAAGCGUGAUCCAGCCAUACCGCGUGGGUGAAGAAGGCCUUCGGGUUGUAAAGCCCUUUUGUUGGGAAAGAAAUCCAGCUGGCUAAUACCCGGUUGGGAUGACGGUACCCAAAGAAUAAGCACCGGCUAACUUCGUGCCAGCAGCCGCGGUAA